rnacentral:rRNA from 1 species
UACGUAGGGGGCUAGCGUUGUCCGGAAUCAUUGGGCGUAAAGAGCGUGUAGGCGGUCCGGUAAGUCCGCUGUGAAAGUCGGGGGCUCAACCCUCGAAUGCCGGUGGAUACUGUCGGGCUAGAGUACGGAAGAGGCGAGUGGAAUUCCUGGUGUAGCGGUGAAAUGCGCAGAUAUCAGGAGGAAUACCGAUGGCGAAGGCAGGUCUCUGGGCUGACACUGACGCUCAUGCACGAAAGCGUGGGGAGCAAACAGG